UACAGAGGGUGCGAGCGUUAAUCGGAAUUAUUGGGCGUAAAGCGCAUGUAGGUGGUUUUUUAAGUUUGAUGUGAAAGCCCUGGGCUUAACCUGGGAAUGGCGUUGAAGACUGGAAGACUUGAGUCGGACAGAGGGCAGUGGAAUUUCUGGUGUAGCGGUGAAAUGCGUAGAGAUCAGAAAGAACAUCGGUGGCGAAGGCGGCUGCCUGGGUCCAGACUGACACUGAGGUGCGAAAGCCAGGGGAGCAAACGGG
rnacentral:rRNA from 1 species